rnacentral:rRNA from 1 species
AUCCUGGCUCAGAUUGAACGCUGGCGGCAGGCCUAACACAUGCAAGUCGAGCGGAAACGAGUUAUCUGAACCUUCGGGGGAACGAUAACGGCGUCGAGCGGCGGACGGGUGAGUAAUGCCUAGGAAAUUGCCCUGAUGUGGGGGAUAACCAUUGGAAACGAUGGCUAAUACCGCAUAAUACCUACGGGUCAAAGAGGGGGACCUUCGGGCCUCUCGCGUCAGGAUAUGCCUAGGUGGGAUUAGCUAGUUGGUGAGGUAAUGGCUCACCAAGGCGACGAUCCCUAGCUGGUCUGAGAGGAUGAUCAGCCACACUGGAACUGAGACACGGUCCAGACUCCUACGGGAGGCAGCAGUGGGGAAUAUUGCACAAUGGGCGCAAGCCUGAUGCAGCCAUGCCGCGUGUGUGAAGAAGGCCUUCGGGUUGUAAAGCACUUUCAGUCGUGAGGAAGGUAGUGUAGUUAAUAGCUGCAUUAUUUGACGUUAGCGACAGAGGAA